rnacentral:tRNA from 1 species
GGUGUAGCUCAGUGGUAGAGCACCUGGUUAGCAAGCACAAGGCCUGGGUUCAAUCCCCAGCACC